rnacentral:tRNA from 1 species
ACAGGGAGACACAACUGAUCGUGAUGUCUGAGCGCCGACCAAGCGUAAGUUUGGGAAGCACAUUCGUCUCAGGCCACGGUCCUGUCAUCUCGAAGGUCGAUCGGUACCUCAAGGUGAGCCAUCAAACCCAAGGAAGAGCCAAAAGUUUCGCAAGGAGCUGGAGGUGAAUCGGAGGAUGUUGUGAUGGACUCGUUUUCAGUUCCUAAACUUUGUCUAGGUCACCCCACAAAGGGUUUCCGCGUCUUGCCAAGAUUCAAGCCGAAAAGCAAUGAAUCGAGGGAAGAGGCCAGAAGCUUGUGUCGAAGUGAUUGAUCCUGGGCCAUUAGCUCAGGUGGUUAGAGCGCACCCCUGAUAAGGGUGAGGUCCCUGGUUCAAGUCCAGGAUGGCCCAUUCUUGUUUGGGGGUUUAGCUCAGUUGGUAGAGCGCCUGCUUUGCAAGCAGGAUGUCAGCGGUUCGAGUCCGCUAACCUCCAUCCAACCAGGUGAAGACCACCAGCAGGAAGCGGCAACAGGAUGCAUUUUGACCGGUGAGGUGACAAAGACGAUGUUCAGCUGAGGACUCCAGCCUCCUUUCAUUCCCAAGUGAUGACUUACCAAGCAAGGUAAGUGAUUGUCAAGAGUGGUUGAAAGGAAGCUGGACUCGCUGAUUUUGGCGCGAGCCAAAGAUCAGUGACUCUAGCAAAGAACCUUGACAACUGCAUAGGUGAGUCUGGAUAAAGAAAGCAUCUCAUAGAUGCCCAGACGGACGUGAUUCUUGCUUGGUACUGCCAAGUGAGGAGAGUGUCUGACUGGGAGAUUCUUGAGUUUAGAGCCGAGAGCUUCCAGCGUCUUUUCGCUCCGCCGAGGAGUGAAGAGUUUGAUUCUGCCUUUCAAACCAUCAACAUUCUAGAGAGAUCGGGAAACCGAAGGAUCAAAGGGUGGAGAGAAGUGAAAGCAGAAGAAUGGGUCUCAACAACCC